ensembl:lncRNA
GUGAAUCUAGCCUGAAUACAGAAAGACGCUUCCGGUCUCAAUUUCUGGAUGGGAGAUGUUAAAAAAGUAAAAGCCCAAGAAUAGUGCAGUAGAACAGUAUGAACGAAAUUCAGCUCCAAAUGAAACAAGUAACUUUCAAUAAUAAUGAGUUAGCUUAACCAGUUAUCGCUCUCCAAUCUAAACAAUUUACCUAUAGUUGUCUGGAGGGGUUGGAAGUUGUUCCCCUCAGACUCGUCGCUCCUGAUACCUGUUCUGCACCGGUAUUUUAUCUAACCGGCCUGAACCAUUGCACACAGUUAAGACGAUACCGACUGCGUCGAAGUAACCGUUAAGAAUAUAAAAGCGAAAUUAAGAAGACUACUACAGCAGUAGUUCGAAGGUUGAGCCACUUUUAGCUUUAGUGUACCUAAGGCUUUUUUGUUUUUAUUCAGCCAACAAAAGGGCACAGUAUUGUAUGUUUUGUUUCGAAUAUUAGCUAGCUUGCUCAGCAUGGUGAACUGAUAGCUAGUGCUAGCUAAUCUAGUAGAGGAGUACUGAAGUGAAUACUGUGUACCGCCGUCAUUUUGCAAACGAACGUGCUGCUCAAAUAGCACCCGAGUAAUCCGGACACUCGUGGUUCCUUUGAGGCAGCCUACGUGGUAGCCACGCCACUGAAUAGCGCUCCUAGCUACCAGGACCGUUAGCAGUUCCAUUCAGCUACGUGGGAGGACCAGUUUGCCAGGACCGAUUGGCGGCUAGCUACGUGGGAUUGCAAACAGACAGACUGGAUGCAAUAUCAACGGUGCACGCGGCACAAACGUGGUGGUCGUGAGUAGCCCUUAUUGGACGCAAAAGAAAACAUUUAACAGGCCUGCAACGGGGGAUGAACUGAUUAUUUUAUUUGUUGUUUUCCAUGCCGGCUUUUGUAUUUUCUUUUAUAUCUGUAUGCAUGUCCCUGUUUGUAAGAGGUGACUAAUUUCAUGUGAACACAUGCCUAAAGUUAUGUUAUACUAGGGAGAGUUUUUGACAGUUACUAUUUUGUGUGGCUUAUUAUUAGCUCCCUUAUUGAUAAUUUAGUUUCAACUGUAAGUUGCUGGUUUAUUGCAGUUCAUUGAUUAGGGAGGUUGCUAUUUUCAUUAUUGACCUAGUGCCCAUAUCAAUUGAGUUUGCUAUACAUUUCUUCAAUAUAGUUUAAAUAGCCUAAACAUAACUAAAUCUUAUUUGUGGUAGGGAAUCAUUAUUAUUUCAAAUACAUGACUAUUUUGGUUAAAUAAAUUAUUUGUAGAUAAUUGUAAAUGUGUUAUGGACUCCACUCACUUCAAUUAGUUGACAUUAUUCAGGUGGCACAAAGUGAACUCAGGUAACAGCCGAGUCUUAACAGGGAAUUGACUCUAGGGCUACACUUAUUUAUCUCAAAUGCUAUGUAUACAGUUCAACAUUUGGAAGUGCUAAUCCACCGCAAUCUUGUGAAGUUAGUAGUUUCUUAAGUCUAAUUCUGGGCCUUUUCCCAUUCCAUAAGAACUCUGUAAUUAACUUGUUAUAUUGCUUAAAGAUUCCAUCAGAAACUGUCACUGGGAUCAUCAUAUAAAUGUAAUUCAAUUGUGGAGCCACCACUAUCUUAAUGAUACUCAUUUUUCCCCACAAAGUCAGUUUAAGUAGCUUCCAUUUGUCCAAAUUCAGCUUAAUUUUCUGUAUUAAAGGGGACAAGUUAAUAUUAAUUAUGUUUUCCAACUCUGGACACAAUCUUAUACCUAAAUAUUUCAAUCCAGUUUGGACCCACUUAAACUGAAAUUUGGCAAAUAUUGAUUGACUGCAUUCUUUCGAUAUCGGCAUACAUUCAGAUUUCUGCCAAUCUAUUUUAUAGCCUGACAGUUUUGAAAAAGACUAUUGAUGCCAGAAGAUGAGGUAUUGACAGUAGAGGAUCCUCAAUAACCAAUAAAAUAUCGUCUGCAUAGAGGAACAUUUUGUAUUCCUCUUCCCCAUGUGAGACCCCUUUUAAUUCUGCUCUCGGCAAUAGCUAGGGGUUCCAGAAAUAAUGUAAAUAGCAGAGGGCUGAGAGGAUCUCCCCGCUUAGUUCCACAUGUCAAUUUAAAGUAACAGUAUGCAACAAUUGUACCUUAAAAUAACAGCUUGAAAAAAAUUGUGCCGCUACAAUGACUUUUAAUAUGGCGAUUUGCGCCUCCGCCAUUGCCAUCGGGGGUCUGUGGGGAAAUAACUCCGCUAUGUAGGAUUCUGAGGCCGCCCGAUCUGGGGGCGGAUGUACUUCGACCUGCUUUCUGGCAGUGAUUACGCAAUGUCAUAUAGUGCCAGUCCACGCUCGCAGCUACAGUAUAAGGGAGAAGCAAGCGAAGUCUCAUCAGUAAUCAUCAUGGAGAACGCACCAAAGAAACAGAAGAAGACGAUGUCUGAUGAAGCAAAGAAGAGAAAAAGAGAGGCCGACAGAGCAAGAGAUCGGACUAGGGUCACAAUCGGAACAGCUUUUACUCGUUGGAGAGAGAGCUGAAAGACACAUUUGGAUACAAGUUCGAUUCACAGCUAGCCAUCUUUCUGCUGGAUUAGUAAGUAAUUUGUACUGUCUCUUGCUUGAUGUUUGACUGUGUUAUCAAAGUUGUUGACUGGCUAGUUUGUCAUACUCGAGGAAAGCACAUUUCAAUGGGUUUUGCUAGGCUUUAGGGUGUCCAGAUUUGAGUUUGUAAAAAAGAGGACGUAGUCGCUGGGGGAGCGUGCGGGGUCCAGCAUGCUAAACACUAGCCUACCCUGCCUUCUCCCCUGCGACGAAGUGUCCUCUUUUUCACAAACUCAAAUCUGGUCACCCUAUUAUAACACUUUUGGACAUUGAUGCUAGGUUUACGUCCUCUUUUUUGUCCAGGUAAAAGAGGACUUGUCCGCCCGGGUAAAAUAGGACGUCUGGUCACCCUAGCUUAGCCGCUAUCAAGACAUCUCGUUAGCGAUAUCAGACAUCUUGUUAUAACACGCUUGGACAAUGAUGCUAGUAAUAAUCGAGUAGCUAGUAAUAACGUCGUAUACACUUCUUUGUAAUGUUAUUGUGAACGCUAUCUGGCUAACUUGCCACCCAAGCUCCACUAGUCUCAGGAUAUUCCAGAUAUUUCCAAGGAAUUUAGCAAUAGUUGACUUUGUCUGCUAGCAUUCCCUUACAGCCAGUUGGUCUGUGGUUCAUGUUUCGUUAGCUUAGUAUGCUACUUGUGUGUUACCUGACUUGAAUGCCGUGAUUUGUGAAAACAUAUAUAAAGAUGUAGCGGCAAACAUACUGAAUUGGUUCUUUCUAUCAAAAGCGGUAGGGAAUGUCUACUCCCAGCAAGGGACAUGCACAGCCACCACCGCCGCCUGUAUCUAGUAUUUCAGAAGAGUCCGACCGAGAUGGGUGUAUCUUAGAACUGCGUUUCUAAACCAGCCAUGCAGGACAUUGUAAGUUGUGACUGACUUAUUUAUCUUUUGAAUCAGGGACAAAGAAUUCGCUAUGCAAGGUGUUCAACCGUUGGGCAAAGAAACCGAAGCGGUUGGUGUGCUAGAAUCUAGCAUGCACUCCUUGAGCAUUGCUGAAGAGGAGCAGCAUGACUCUCUGGAUGAGGAGGAGGCGAAUUAUAUGAGGAAUAGCAUUAUUGACAUGGAUGAUUGCUGGGAGGAUCCUAAUCAGAAGGGCUUGGAAGAAGAUCGGGACAGCUCUGAUGAAGACUAUAGUCCUUUUCUUCAUCUACGUGCCCCAGCUAUGACUGCCAACAUAAACCAACUCCUGGAGAUAAGCAUGGAUAAAGCCGUGCUUGAUGUGGCAACACCCAAUCCUCCAGGUGAGGACAUACAAGAAACUCCAGAACAACAAAAAGUUUCAGCUCUGGGACACGGAGCAGCUGGAUGGCACCAUCACGCUGGUGCGCAGCUCCAGCAUGCGGCAGUUCAACUGGGGCUACACCCAGUUCUCUCCUACUGCUGGUGUCGGGGGGUCUACCUGGGCCCCCAUCAGUGGCGGUUCUACACGGAGGCCUGGGGUGGCCCGUGCCCCUGUAGACAUAUCCCUGGCCACCCCGUGCCGACCAAAUAAAAAAAUAUGAAUUUAUUAUGAUUUUUACACCCGAGCGCCAAAAGCAGAACUAAUACGACGCAACGUUCUACACGGGUAAAUUGUAGUGUGGUGCUCGUCGUCGAGUGAGAGCUCAGCAACUACUAUUCAUGGAUACCAUGUGACGUCACUGUGUCUAAGCGCCGCCAUAUUUGUGUCCAACACGGACACAGUAGACUAGCUGUGCGUCGGUCACCCACAGAAAGUUCAAAUGCCCGGGAUAUGUUUUGCUGUUGGAUGCGACAACUGUCACCAAAGAAACCCAGAUAUACAAUUUCUUUAUAUUCCAAAAGAUUUAGGGAAUGACUGACCUGUUAAGUGAAAUGUAGCACGUUGAUACAAUCGUGAAUAAUUACUGUGUCUUAUUAAAGCUAAACUCUCCUGAGCAAGCUAGAGUGCUAAUAGCUAGCGAGCUGUUUUGCCCUUUCCUAAAGGCUUUAGCUACAACUCGUCAGCCCAUAUUGGCACUCUUAACCACCACUAAAAUAACACGGUUGAUAAUCGCUGUUUUAAUUACUUACAUGACCUGUGAUCACAUACAUAUUUUUUGUCUCCAGAUGCCAUAUCUUGGUUUCGUUCACCCAUCCUGCAACUGCAUAUUGAUAGGCAUUUGUACUCUUGAAAUUUCAGGUGUUUGGGGAUGGAUUAUGUACAAGAUAAAUGUAAAUGUCGGGAAAAGAAAGUUGGGGCAGACGCUUUGCAGACUUUAAGGGACAAAAUAAAGUUGAAGUUAAUAAAUAUGGAUCGCAGCCAAUAAUCAAUGCCUUUUCCAAAUAUCGCUGUCCUUCUGUCUCAUUUAGAUGUGCUAUCAGCUACAGCUCGCUAGCUUGCUCAAGAGAGUUUAGGUUUGAUAAGACACAAUAAUUAUUCACGAUUGUAUCAACGCCAAAAAAAAAAUCCUAAAGGAGACAUCAUAAAAAGCACAUGCUUAGAUUUUAGUGUGAAUAGCAGUGGCGAUUUUAGCCCGAAAUUUCUGGUGGGGCAAUUUUGUAUGACGAUAUGUUUGUUGUCAUGACUGUUGGCCAGCUAACCAACCACUAGAAUAAAAAAAAUGUCUAAAUUUGAAGAAACUAUAAACAGAAAACAAUACUAUUAUAAUAUUAUUAUUAUAUUAUUACUAUAUAGUAUUAUAUAUGACUACCUAGCUACUAUUGGUUAAAAAAAAAAUCUUAUAAUUUUGAUGUGCCCCUCUGGUUAAACACUGGCCCCUCCUUGGCCCCCCUAGUAAAAAUUGUCUAGAACCGCCACUGGCCCCCAUCACUCCUCCUCCGGGGAGAUCGCCGUCAUCAGCUUAGGUGGGAGUUUGCUUUCUUUCUGUCCCCCUUUUUAGUCUCUCUGUCUCUGGUUUUUGUCUUCAUUCAGGCUAUUUGCCUGUUUUGGAGUCAAGUGUGUAAACCGCCUCUCUCACUCACAGACCUACUCUCUCUCUCUCUCUCCCUCUCUCGAGUGCAUGCUGGGAGCGAGUGACAGACGCCCCUGCGGAUGGCCCUGCCAUGUUGGACCCCCUCGCGCUUCCGGCUGGUGGACCGGCCGUGGGUGGGUCUGUUGUGGUUGAGCCUGUCGCGAUUGACCUUGCCGUGAAGGAGACUGUUGUGGCAGGUUGUGAUGUGGACCCGGCCGUCGCUGACCCUGCAGACCCGGCCGUCGCUGACCCUGCAGACCCGGCCGUCGCAGACCCAGCCGACGCUCACCCAGCCGGUGCGUACCCCACAGCCAGCGCUGCGGACCCGGACCCCGCAGCCAGCGCUGCCGACCCGGACCCCGCAGCCAGCGCUGCCGACCCGGACCCCGCAGCCACUGCUGCCGACCCGGACCCCGCAGCCACCGCUGCCGACCCACACCCCGCAGCUGACCCGGACCCUGCUGCCACAGCUGCCGACCAAGAUCCCCCAGGAUCCGUUUCCGAUGCAGGCCCAGCAGCACCCUCUGCCGACACCGGUCCAGCAGCACCUCCUGAUGGCGUCGCUGCUGAUGGCUCUGCUGCCCCUGUCCCGAGCGCCCCUGUCCCGAGCGUCCCAGGCGCCCCUGUCCUGAGCGUCUCAGGCGCCCCUGUCCCGAGCGUCUCAGGCGCCCCUGUCCCAAGCAUCCAAGGUGUCCCUGCGCCGGUCCCAGGCGUCCCUGCGCCGGCCCCAGGCGCUCCUGCUCUGCCCGUUUGGCCACCCACCCGGCCGGCCGCCAAAGACUCUGCCCCUGUUAGGCCACCCACCCGGCCGGCCGCCAAAGACUCUGCCCCUAUUUGGCCACCCACACGGCCAGCCACCAGAUACUCUGCCCCUACUUGGCCACUGGUCCUGCCGGCCACCAGACAUUCUGCCCUUGCUUGGCCGUCCACCCGGUCGGCCACCAGACCCUUGGGUUCUAUCCAGCCUUCUGUCUGGCCCGGCCUACCCUACCUAGCCUUGCUCUGGACCCCCUCCACCCACCCUAAGUGGAUUUGAUCUGUUUUUUUUUUUUUCUGGAAUCCGGCCCUUAGAGGGGGGGUACUGUAAGGUCUGUGUUCUGUCCGUGUUUAAUUUCUGAGUUUGUCUCCCUUGUGUUGUCACAUGUUUGUUCCCUUGUCUAGUCCUCGUGCUUCCUUGUUCCCGCCAUGUGCUUUCCUAUGUUUGUUUGUCUAUGCCAUGUGCCCUCUUGUUGUUCGUGUCUCCACCCCUCACCUGUUCCCAAUCACCCGGUUUGUUUGUAUUAUUGGUUUCUCCUGUGUCCUGUUAAUUCCCCUUGUUUAGUCCACCUGUGUCAUUGUCUGCCCCGCCUUGAUUGUUCUCACCUGUCCCUCGUUAUAUGUUGCCUGUGUGUAUAUAUAGUCCUUGUAUUCUUGUUUCUCGUUGCGUCUUUGUAGUUAUAUGUUACCUGGUAUGUUCAUUGUUUUUCCCGCUGUUCCUCGUGUUUCCAGCGCUUCCUCCUGGUUAAUGUGAUUUACUCGUGCUUCUGACCUCUGCCUGUACAACGACUAUUCUCCUGCCUAUUCCCUGUUUGGAUUUGUUUGCUACUCUUGGACUGCCUACCUGUGUACCGAACCCG